rnacentral:lncRNA from 1 species
CUGCUAUGGAAGUAAAUGGUUACAGGUGUACAGCAUUUUUCAAAAUAUCUUCUUUUGUGUUCAACGGAAGAUAGAAAGCCAAACAGGUUUGAAACAAGUGAAAGUCACCGUUUGGUUCAGCUUAGCUGUCAAAACCGACCUUUAUAGACUACAUCGUUAGUCCGGACUGCUGAACUAAUCACUGGCACUACCCUUCCUACACUUUAAGAACUGUACUCUUCCAGAGUGAGUAAAAGGGCUCGCAAAAUCACUCUGGACGCCUCGCACCCAGCACACUACCUGUUCGAACUGUUACAAUCUGGUCGGCGCUACAGAGCACCAAGCAUAAAAACAGCCAGACACAGGACAAGUUUCUUUCCUCAGGCCAUCUACCUCAUGAACAGUUAAAUAUUCCCCUACUAUGUCUUAAAAAGGUCUUAAAAGGUAUUAAAUUUCCUGUUAAAAAAUGUGUAGAUACCCUGAAUAAACAUGUGCAAUACUUUCUCACAUGCGAUUGUACACAGCACCUUAUAACCUGUAUAUUUAUAACAAAUCUGUACACACAACUCAACAUCCAGAUCUUUUGGUCGAACUGCAUCUCUGUUUAAUGUUUGUCAUCUUUUUUUCAUAUUUAUUUUGUGUUGUCACUUGUCACUUCAAGUACACUGGAAGCUUCUGUAGCCA